rnacentral:rRNA from 1 species
GAUGAACGCUGGCGGCGUGCCUAAUACAUGCAAGUCGAGCGAACAGACGAGGAGCUUGCUCCUCUGACGUUAGCGGCGGACGGGUGAGUAACACGUGGAUAACCUACCUAUAAGACUGGGAUAACUUCGGGAAACCGGAGCUAAUACCGGAUAAUAUAUUUAACCGCAUGGUUCAAUAGUGAAAGACGGUUUUGCUGUCACUUCUAGAUGGAUCCGCGCCGCAUUAGCUAUUUGGUAAGGUAACGGCUUACCAAGGCAACGAUGCGUAGCCGACCUGAGAGGGUGAUCGGACACACUGGAACUGAGACACGGUCCAGACUCCUACGGGAGGCAGAAGUAGGAAAUCUUCCGCAAUGGGCGAAAGCCUGACGGAGCAACGCCGCGUGAGUGAUGAAGGUCUUCGGAUCGUAAAACUCUGUUAUUAGGGAAGAACAAAUGUGUAAGUAACUAUGCACGUCUUGACGGUACCUAAUCAGAAAGCCACGGCUAACUACGUG